ACCAAAAAAAAGAACAAAAAACAGUGAAGUUUGAGUUCUCUGAACAGCAGAACGGUUAACUGAUUACAACGGGUUCUUUGUUUACGGAAAAUUAAGGGUGAUCUUUCCAAUCUGGUGAUCUUUCCAAUCUUGUAGAGUUAAAAGAAAUCUCAAAAAUCCAUUCUUAAACAGGAAAUUCCUCCGACAACGAUCUCUGCACAAAGGUUUGGAAAUUCAGUGAAAUUCAAUUCUUAGUUGUUUGAGACAUCAUAUUCACGAAUCGUAUUGCCAUACUUUAUAAUUCAGGUAAAGUGACGUUACGGUAGAUUAGAUGAAGUCGUGGUGUUAUAUUAUCGUGAUGGAAACCAAGUUGUUUUAUUCAAAUGUCAUUGGUGGGAUAUCACCGAGUCAAGAAAGAAACAGCGAGAUGCAUCUGGGUUUACAUCAUUUAAUUUUUCAAGAACUAUAGCCAAAAUUCAACCUUUUAUUCUAGCAGCGCAAGCACAUCAAGUUUUCUAUCUCCAGGACAAUAAGGACAAGAACCGCUGAAUUGUACUUAAAAUGCAGGCAAGGGACCACUAUAGUUUGGGAACAAUGGAAGUUGAGCCAAUCCAAGAUGAUUUAUCCCGCACAGAUAAUCAUGCAACCAGUGCAGCUGAAACUGACCAAGACUUCAUGAGCUGGACUCGGAAAGAAAUUGAAGGAAAACAGGUUAUUAGAAGUACAACUGACGCUGAUAGAGACGUUCGAGAUGAUGAUGACAGUCAUAGUGAUCACAUUGACUAUUUAAGUGAUUGUGAACGCGAUGAUCUCGUCUAACAUGUAGUGAAAGUUAAUAUUGAACCCUACUGUUUAUUUGAUGUUUUUCCUAUUUUAUUUUCGGUUUGAUUGGAAGGAAUAUUAUUAUGAAAUUCAGACUCUGAAUGAACAUGUGCAUGUUAAUUUAAGUGAUCGAGAAUAAGUACAGAACAAUAUAUAGGU